CGGUAUUAUUUGGUGGACAAAGGAUAUGCCCAAGAACAUGGGUAUUUGGGACCGCAUUGCAAGACCAGAUACUGAAAGGAGGAGUUCAAGUAUAGGGGUCCUGAGCAGUUGGAAGAGUUGUUCAACUACCAUCAUUCGAAACUGGAAAAUGUAGUUGAAAGGUCAUUUGGGGUGGCCAAAAAUAAGUGGCAAAUGUUGAAAGCAAUGCCUAACUAUCCUAAGGACAAGCAAUGUCAGAUUAUUGUGGCAUGUUUUGCACUGCAUAACUUUGUACGGGAUGAGGCUGCACAGUCAUCGACAGUCGGUAGCAUGACGAUACCUGCACCAAGUGAGUACUCGCAGGAGUGGGUUGAGUCAAAUGAGGAAGAUGAAAUGUCAACUAUCCACGACUAGAUCACUAUCGGACUUGGAAUGAUGGGGUUCAGUGUAUGCUUGGAGAUGGCAAUUGGCAGUAAGCAUGGCGUCUCAAUUAGCACCAGCUGCCAUGAGCAGCUCGUCUAGGCUGCAGGCCACGGUUCAUGAAGUUUGGAUUUGUGCAUAUAGUGCAUAAUGCAUGACCAGUUGGUAAUUUGGUAAUUGGCUGACCUCCAUUCGGUUGUAUGAUUAUAAAACUGGUGAUUGGUAACUGAUUUUGGUGCAAAUUUUGCAUGCGAAGUAGGCGCCAAAAUUUCACUUACCUGUGUUAUGGCUGUUGCAUGUUAUCCUGUCUUUCAUAUACGAAGCAUAUGUGCCCGUUGUUAUGGAUGUAAUAAUGUUUAA